CUUAGUUCACAGUCAGCUGCUCUUGAGGACGGACGCGCGUCUCGUCCCUGAUCCUGAAAUUCGAUAAAAUAAAAAAGUUACUCGUUCAACUAUCAUGACAUUAAAAUUAAAUUAUGUGUUUUAACUUUUUAAUAUUUCGUGUAUUAGUGUGUGCUAACAAGUUUUUGUGAAAUUCGAUUUUUUUUUUUUGGAUUAAGACCACUUUUAUUAAGGUAACUGUCACACUUUAACUGGGAAUUUAACGUUUGUUCAUAAGCACACUGUUUUACUUAGUUUUGUACAAAGUACCAUAAAAAAAUUUAAGAUCCUUAUUACUUUUCAUAUACUUACACACACACAUACACAUACACACACACAAGCUCGAUAUAAAUAAAUUUCGAGUAUAUAUUAUGUAACAUAUCAUUACAAUGUCAGAAUGAUAAAAUUUGUGAUACUAAAGAAUAAGUAUCCUGUACCGAAGAAAAAUAGCAGAAAAUAUAAAU
rnacentral:misc_RNA from 1 species